UUCGGGAAACCGGAGCUAAUACCGGAUAAUAUUUUGAACCGCAUGGUUCAAAAGUGAAAGACGGUCUUGCUGUCACUUAUAGAUGGAUCCGCGCUGCAUUAGCUAGUUGGUAAGGUAACGGCUUACCAAGGCAACGAUGCAUAGCCGACCUGAGAGGGUGAUCGGCCACACUGGAACUGAGACACGGUCCAGACUCCUACGGGAGGCAGCAGUAGGGAAUCUUCCGCAAUGGGCGAAAGCCUGACGGAGCAACGCCGCGUGAGUGAUGAAGGUCUUCGGAUCGUAAAACUCUGUUAUUAGGGAAGAACAUAUGUGUAAGUAACUGUGCACAUCUUGACGGUACCUAAUCAGAAAGCCACGGCUAACUACGUGCCAGCAGCCGCGGUAAUACGUAGGUGGCAAGCGUUAUCCGGAAUUAUUGGGCGUAAAGCGCGCGUAGGCGGUUUUUUAAGUCUGAUGUGAAAGCCCACGGCUCAACCGUGGAGGGUCAUUGGAAACUGGAAAACUUGAGUGCAGAAGAGGAAAGUGGAAUUCCAUGUGUAGCGGUGAAAUGCGCAGAGAUAUGGAGGAACACCAGUGGCGAAGGCGACUUUCUGGUCUGUAACUGACGCUGAUGUGCGAAAGCGUGGGGAUCAAACAGGAUUAGAUACCCUGGUAGUCCACGCCGUAAACGAUGAGUGCUAAGUGUUAGGGGGUUUCCGCCCCUUAGUGCUGCAGCUAACGCAUUAAGCACUCCGCCUGGGGAGUACGACCGCAAGGUUGAAACUCAAAGGAAUUGACGGGGACCCGCACAAGCGGUGGAGCAUGUGGUUUAAUUCGAAGCAACGCGAAGAACCUUACCAAAUCUUGACAUCCUUUGACAACUCUAGAGAUAGAGCCUUCCCCUUCGGGGGACAAAGUGACAGGUGGUGCAUGGUUGUCGUCAGCUCGUGUCGUGAGAUGUUGGGUUAAGUCCCGCAACGAGCGCAACCCUUAAGCUUAGUUGCCAUCAUUAAGUUGGGCACUCUAAGUUGACUGCCGGUGACAAACCGGAGGAAGGUGGGGAUGACGUCAAAUCAUCAUGCCCCUUAUGAUUUGGGCUACACACGUGC
rnacentral:rRNA from 1 species